rnacentral:rRNA from 1 species
GAUGAACGCUGGCGGCGUGCCUAAUACAUGCCAGUCGAGCGAACAGACGAGGAGCUUGCUCCUCUGACGUUAGCGGCGGACGGGUGAGUAACACGUGGAUAACCUACCUAUAAGACUGGGAUAACUUCGGGAAACCGGAGCUAAUACCGGAUCAUAUAUUGAACCGCAUGGUUCAAUAGUGAAAGACGGUUUUGCUGUCACUUAUAGAUGGAUCCGCGCCGCAUUAGCUAGUUGGUAAGGUAACGGCUUACCAAGGCGACGAUGCGUAGCCGACCUGAGAGGAUGAUCGGCCACACUGGAACUGAGACACGGUCCAGACUCCUACGGGAGGCAGCAGUAGGGAAUCUUCCGCAAUGGGCGAAAGCCUGACGGAGCAACGCCGCGUGAGUGAUGAAGGUCUUCGGAUCGUAAAGCUCUGUUAUUAGGGAAGAACAAAUGUGUAAGUAACUAUGCACGUCUUGACGGUACCUAAUCAGAAAGCCACGGCUAACUACGUG